CCACUUGAACCCCUGCCCUGGGCUUCUUCCCCUACUAGGCUUCUCAUGCCUCCACCAGCCAGAGUCCACCCAUCAGGAGGUCUCAAAACCAAUGGACGCCCACCCAGACCUCAGAACAUUAUUCCCAGCAGUGGGAAAGAGGUGAUCCUUCCUGAUCUGGUGUCCGCUCCACCCCCAACCCCUGCGCCAUCAUCUGCAAGCUGGAGAGCACUCGGGUCCUCAUCCAGAUCUCAGAGCAAUGUCAUUGGCAGCCAGAAAGAGGUAUUAGGACCGGAUUCUGUGGAUACUGCUGUGCAGUCUUUCUUAUACAGAGAAAAUUAUAUUUGGAAGGAACUGGACAAGUAUUUGCAGCAUCAGGAGUUGUUGAAUUUGAGAAGACAGGAAUUGCUGCAUAAGCAAUGGUUUGAGAGUGUUUCUAGACCUCUGCUCAGUGCAGUUUCACAGAAAAUCGAGAGCCAGUCAUCAAGAGAUAUUGAGAGAAGACGACAAGUUCAGUUAGCAGAAUAUUUAAAAUAUCAAAAGGAAAAGGGCACUCUGUUUUUGGAACAAUAUGAUCCUGAAGAGUAUGAUCCAUUUCAACAUAAAAAACUGGGUCAACUGGAGGUUAAAAUCCCACACUUGCGGGAUCCUUUGAAUCAAGCGGCAGAGGACAGACUUGAGGAGGAUAGAACCCUACUGCAAUGUCAGACAGGAAAGUUGUAUACGGUUCAAGAGUACAAAGACAUCGUUGAAGCUAGGAGGAGAUUACGGAGGUUGCAGUGGCAGCGGUGGUGGUGAAAACAGAUCGGGACAGUCUUUACAUCAAGGUCAACAUCCCCUGAGAAGCCGACCCUAAACCACAAGGGAAAAGCCUCAGGAAAACCAUAGGUGAAUAUUUAGGAGAGAGCCAAGAUUCCUGUCAAAAGCUAGAAGAGUUUAUUUGAAGAGAAAAACAUAUAGGAAAGGAAGAAAGGAUAAUACCGCAAACCCAUCUGGUUUUAGAUUAAAAACCUGGAUCAUUAAAAUGUGUUCUGGCAACCAAA